AAUCCAUAGGUUAAUGAGGCGAACCGGGGGAACUGAAACAUCUAAGUACCCCGAGGAAAAGAAAUCAACCGAGAUUCCCCCAGUAGCGGCGAGCGAACGGGGAGGAGCCCAGAGCCUGAAUCAGCAUGUGUGUUAGUGGAAGCGUCUGGAAAGGCGCGCGAUACAGGGUGACAGCCCCGUACACAAAAGCGCAUGUGCUGUGAGCUCGAUGAGUAGGGCGGGACACGUGGUAUCCUGUCUGAAUAUGGGGGGACCAUCCUCCAAGGCUAAAUACUCCUGACUGACCGAUAGUGAACCAGUACCGUGAGGGAAAGGCGAAAAGAACCCCGGCGAGGGGAGUGAAAAAGAACCUGAAACCGUGUACGUACAAGCAGUGGGAGCCCCACCACCAAAGCAUUCUCUGGUGUUGAAGGCCCUGCAAAGCAGCAUCGCGGUGGCGGAGCGUCGUUUGCGACGCCCAACACACAAAACAAGCGGUGAGUGCUUUGGGGUGGGGUGACUGCGUACCUUUUGUAUAAUGGGUCAGCGACUUAUAUUCUGUAGCAAGGUUAACCGAAUAGGGGAGCCGGAGGGAAACCGAGUCUUAAUUGGGCGUUAAGUUGCAGGGUAUAGACCCGAAACCCGGUGAUCU
rnacentral:rRNA from 1 species